rnacentral:rRNA from 1 species
ACUUCUUUAUCACCGAGUGCUUGCACUCACCGAUAAAGAGUUGAGUGGCGAACGGGUGAGUAACACGUGGGCAACCUGCCCAAAAGAGGGGGAUAACACUUGGAAACAGGUGCUAAUACCGCAUAACCAUAGUUACCGCAUGGUAACUAUGUAAAAGGUGGCUAUGCUACCGCUUUUGGAUGGGCCCGCGGCGCAUUAGCUAGUUGGUGGGGUAAAGGCUUACCAAGGCAAUGAUGCGUAGCCGAACUGAGAGGUUGAUCGGCCACAUUGGGACUGAGACACGGCCCAAACUCCUACGGGAGGCAGCAGUAGGGAAUCUUCCACAAUGGGCGAAAGCCUGAUGGAGCAACGCCGCGUGGGUGAAGAAGGUCUUCGGAUCGUAAAACCCUGUUGUUAGAGAAGAAAGUGCGUGAGAGUAACUGUUCACGUUUCGACGGUAUCUAACCAGAAAGCCACGGCUAACUACGUGCCAGCAGCCGCGGUAAUACGUAGGUGGCAAGCGUUAUCCGGAUUUAUUGGGCGUAAAGGGAACGCAGGCGGUCUUUUAAGUCUGAUGUGAAAGCCUUCGGCUUAACCGGAGUAGUGCAUUGGAAACUGGGAGACUUGAGUGCAGAAGAGGAGAGUGGAACUCCAUGUGUAGCGGUGAAAUGCGUAGAUAUAUGGAAGAACACCAGUGGCGAAAGCGGCUCUCUGGUCUGUAACUGACGCUGAGGUUCGAAAGCGUGGGUAGCAAACAGGAUUAGAUACCCUGGUAGUCCACGCCGUAAACG